CCAGAGAUGGAUUGGUGCCUUCGGGAACUGUGAGACAGGUGCUGCAUGGCUGUCGUCAGCUCGUGUUGUGAAAUGUUGGGUUAAGUCCCGCAACGAGCGCAACCCUUAUCCUUUGUUGCCAGCGGUUCGGCCGGGAACUCAAAGGAGACUGCCAGUGAUAAACUGGAGGAAGGUGGGGAUGACGUCAAGUCAUCAUGGCCCUUACGACCAGGGCUACACACGUGCUACAAUGGCAUAUAAAAAGAGAAGCGACC
rnacentral:rRNA from 1 species